rnacentral:lncRNA from 1 species
CUUAUCAAUAUUAUUGCUGGAAUUAGUAUUGUUCAUUAGUCAUUUCACACACAAUAAUACGUUUUCAAAUUUAAUAAAACAUGUUUAUAGUAGGUGUAUGUCGAGUGUAUAAAAGAAAGUUCGGUCCUAGACAGUAUGGAAAUCGAUCAGAUACCGUUGUUGAAAAUGCUCUUAACAAAAUAAUUAAUUGUGAACUUUAAAUAUUAGCAGCAAGAAAACAAUAUAAAAUAACCCAUGAUAUAUUACACGACAGAUAUCAUGGUAAACAUGGUAAUAAACCGGGAGGCCAACCAUGAACCAAUAUGUAGUGAAUAUUUACUGAAGCUGAGGAAAAAGUAUUAUUGGCUACUAUUGCUAAAUGUAGUAAUUGAUGUUUCCUUUUAACCAUGACUGACUUCAGGUAACUAUUAAUAUCCUUGUUAAAUAUAAUCUAUAAAACACAAAAACUGUUUCUACUUAUGACCAUUAUAGAUUUUAAAAUCAUCCAACCCAACAUGCCCCAAACCAGUCUCAUUAGAAAGGCAAUAAUGCAAAGAUGGUUUUAGACCACUAAAACAACACAUUGAGCAUAUUCAGUCCAUUAAUGAAGUCGAUUUUUGACUUUUCCCAUUCAACAAUUUUCUCGAAUUUUAAUAUUUAUUUUUUUUAUAUAUUUUUUAUAGAUAUAGAUUAUUCACAAACUCACCAAAGAGUGGCAUUACUCACAAACAAAUUAAAAACAAAACUUGUGCAAUUUGUGCAUCACAUUUAAUUAUUUUGACCGCAUUGGUGCGAAGUUGGCACAUACUACUGACUGUCAACACAAAAACACUGAUCUGUCAUUCUCAUCAGAAAGUUUUAUCAUUUGUGUUUAUCACGUAGAUCAUGUCAAGUAAUCAAAUUAGGAAAUAUUAAAAACCUCAUAAAUUGUAUUAAAAAUAUUUGUUUUCAUGAAAUUUGGUGGUGAUUUUAAGUACUGUUAUCAAAAAUGCCACUGAAAAGAGCUGUUACUGGAAGAAAUGCACCAAAUGCUAAACGAAAGAGAACCAUAAGUGCAGCCGAAAUGCCUGAACAACAAGAAGUAUGUUUGGCGUCAAACCAACUGAAAUAUUAAUAAUCAGCUGAAACUCCUCAAUAGCAUAAAAAGUGGCUUGAAGGUAAUUUAUCAUGAACGGCUCAAUCGAUUUUCAGUUGGUUGCAUUCAAUAGUUAAUAAACUAGAUAAUAAUAAUAAAAAAUAAUACUUUUUUCAGAUUAGUGGCAGUUAUUUUUGGACAAAAUGGGUAUUGUCUAAACAUUUAAGGACAAUCUACCGGGUAAUGACUGGACUGAAAGUUUAUUUAAAAGAAAAAUUAUAUUUAUUAUAUGUUUAUUAUUUAUAAUUUUGUAUUUAAAAAUAUUAGAUACCAUAUAAUUAUGAUAAUUUAUUUUUAUAAAGUUAGUCAAUUAAAAAAAAAAAUAUUUUAUAUAUAUAUAAAAUUAUUUUAUUUAUUAUUAAUUUUAUUUUAUUUUAUUUUAUAUUCAUACCAUUACCAUUAAUUUAAAAUACAAAUAAAUGAUGGUACCAAAGUCAUCUUAAGUUGGUAUAACAUUGAUAGCUAUUUUAAAAAAGUAAUUUAAAAAAAAAAAACGAUUGUUGAAAAAAUUUAAUUAAAAUUUAAAGAUAGUAUUAAAUACAAACUUGAGGCAACAUAUUUAUUUUGAGAUUUGUAAUAAGUAUUAAACAAAUUGCUAGUAAAAAAACAGUAAAAAGUUAACAAAAAUUUACCAGUCACUCCUAUGUACAUUAAAAUGAAUACUGAAAUUCUAAGUUUUGCUGAUGAUACUGAAAUUUUAUUAUCUGAACGAAUUAUAAAUACUUUGUAUUAUGAGGCAAACAAUUUUUUAAAUAAUAUUAAUAUUUGGUUUUACAAGAAUAAAUUGAAAAUAAACUUAUUAAAAUCUAAAUGUAUUUAAUAAUAAUUGUUUCGACCCAAUAAAGUGUAAUACAUUACAUGUAAAUAAUCCAUUUUUUAAUGCGUUUCUGUUUGGAAUAAUAUAUAUAUAUAUAUAUAUGGGCCACAGUGUGUUAAAUUUGAAAAUGUGAGGGAAUUAAAAUACCAUGGUCUAAUUCUUGACUAUAGACUUAAGUGGGAUAGUCAUAUUAACUAUAUAUUUAAUAACUCACAUAAAAGAAUUAUUUUUCUACAAAUGUAUAAAUGAAUUAAUUAAUUAAUUAAUGGGUCGCCUGGAGUAUUAUGAAAUGUGUAUUGUACUACCAGUUUCUAAUUAAAAAUGUAUCGUUAGGUAAAAUCACAGUCAAAAAAUAAAAGGCAGCUGAAUAUGAAAAAACAAAAUGAAGGAAUACAUAGAAAAAAAUUAUACUUUUACAUAGAAAUAAUUUAUUUUAAUAAGACAGAUUAUUUAAAAUGAGUUAUCAUUAGACAUACAUAUGUUAAGAAAUAUAAAUUGUUUGGUUAUUAUUUAUUAUCUUAAAU